GGCUUUCGUGGCAUGGGAUGGGGUCGCGUCCUAUCAGCUUGUUGGCGGGGUGAGGGCCCACCAAGGCUUCGACGGGUAGCCGGCCUGAGAGGGCGACCGGCCACAUUGGGACUGAGAUACGGCCCAGACUCCUACGGGAGGCAGCAGUGGGGAAUAUUGCACAAUGGGCGCAAGCCUGAUGCAGCGACGCCGCGUG
rnacentral:rRNA from 1 species